GCGGAAAUAGCUCAGUUGAUAGAGCAUUAGCCUUCCAAGCUGAGGGUCGCGGGUUUGAGCCCCGUCUUCCGCUCUA
rnacentral:tRNA from 1 species